rnacentral:tRNA from 1 species
GGACGUGUGCCCGAGAAUCUAGGGGUUACUUUGAUAGAGUAAACCACAGGAAUUGAAACCCCUCACCUCCU